rnacentral:tRNA from 1 species
GACUCCAUGGUCAAAUGGUUAAGACACAAGAUUUUCAAUCUUGUAAUGCCCGUUCAAUUCGGGUUGGAGUUA